rnacentral:rRNA from 1 species
GGCCUUAGGGUUGUAAAGCACUUUCAGUAAGGAGGAAAGGUUAGUAGUUAAUACCUGCUAGCUGUGACGUUACUUACAGAAGAAGCACCGGCUAACUCCGUGCCAGCAGCCGCGGUAAUACGGAGGGUGCGAGCGUUAAUCGGAAUUACUGGGCGUAAAGCGUACGCAGGCGGUUUGUUAAGCGAGAUGUGAAAGCCCCGGGCUCAACCUGGGAACUGCAUUUCGAACUGGCAAACUAGAGUGUGAUAGAGGGUGGUAGAAUUUCAGGUGUAGCGGUGAAAUGCGUAGAGAUCUGAAGGAAUACCGAUGGCGAAGGCAGCCACCUGGGUCAACACUGACGCUCAUGUACGAAAGCGUGGGGAGCAAACAGGAUUAGAUACCCUGGUAGUCCACGCCGUAAACGAUGUCUACUAGGAGCUGGGGUCUUCGGACAACUUUUCCAAAGCUAACGCAUUAAGUAGACCGCCUGGGGAGUACGGCCGCAAGGUUAAAACUCAAAUGAAUUGACGGGGGCCCGCACAAGCGGUGGAGCAUGUGGUUUAAUUCGAUGCAACGCGAAGAACCUUACCUACACUUGACAUACAGAGAACUUACCAGAGAUGGUUUGGUGCCUUCGGGAACUCUGAUACAGGUGCUGCAUGGCUGUCGUCAGCUCGUGUUGUGAGAUGUUGGGUUAAGUCCCGCAACGAGCGCAACCCUUAUCCUUAGUUGCCAGCGAUUCGGUCGGGAACUCUAAGGAGA